rnacentral:miRNA from 1 species
CGCAGGAUUUGCUUGUGAAUGG